rnacentral:rRNA from 1 species
UUUAUGGAGAGUUUGAUCCUGGCUCAGGAUGAACGCUGGCGGCGUGCCUAAUACAUGCAAGUCGAGCGAACGGACGAGAAGCUUGCUUCUCUGAUGUUAGCGGCGGACGGGUGAGUAACACGUGGAUAACCUACCUAUAAGACUGGGAUAACUUCGGGAAACCGGAGCUAAUACCGGAUAAUAUUUUGAACCGCAUGGUUCAAAAGUGAAAGACGGUCUUGCUGUCAC